rnacentral:rRNA from 1 species
UACGUAGGGUGCGAGCGUUGUCCGGAAUUAUUGGGCGUAAAGGGCUCGUAGGCGGUUUGUCGCGUCGGGAGUGAAAACCCAGGGCUUAACCCUGGGCUGGCUUCCGAUACGGGCAGACUAGAGGUAUGCAGGGGAGAACGGAAUUCCCGGUGUAGAGGUGAAAUUCGUAGAUAUCGGGAGGAACACCAGUGGCGAAGGCGGCGACCUGGACAGAUAUUGACGCUGAGGUGCGAAAGCGUGGGGAGCAAACAGG